rnacentral:rRNA from 1 species
CCUACGGGGGGCAGCAGUGGGGAAUUUUCCGCAAUGGGCGAAAGCCUGACGGAGCAAUACCGCGUGAGGGAUGAAUGCCUGUGGGUUGUAAACCUCUUUUAUUAGGGAAGAAUUAUGACGGUACCUAAUGAAUAAGCAUCGGCUAACUCCGUGCCAGCAGCCGCGGUAAUACGGGGGAUGCAAGCGUUAUCCGGAAUUAUUGGGCGUAAAGAGUCUGUAGGUUGUUUAAUAAGUCUGCUGUUAAAUUUUAGAGCUCAACUCUAAGCCAGCAGUAGAAACUAUCGAACUAGAGUAUGGUAGGGGCGAAGGGAAUUCCCAGUGUAGCGGUGAAAUGCGUAGAUAUUGGGAAGAACACCAGAAGCGAAGGCGCUUUGCUGGGCCAUUACUGACACUCAGAGACGAAAGCUAGGGGAGCAAAUGGGAUUAGAUACCCCAGUAGUCCUAGCUGUAAACGAUGGAUACUAGAUGUUGCGCGUAUCGAUCCGUGCAGUAUCGUAGCUAACGCGUUAAGUAUCCCGCCUGGGAAGUAUGCUCGCAAGAGUGAAACUCAAAUGAAUUGACGG